CCUACGGGAGGCAGCAGUAGGGAAUCUUCCACAAUGGGCGAAAGCCUGAUGGAGCAACGCCGCGUGGGUGAAGAAGGUCUUCGGAUCGUAAAACCCUGUUGUUAGAGAAGAAAGGGCGUGAGAGUAACUGUUCACGUGUCGACGGUAUCGAACCAGAAAGCCACGGCGAACUACGGGCCAGCAGCCGCGGUAAUACGUAGGUGGCAAGCGUUAGCCGGAUUUAUUGGGCGUAAAGGGAACGCAGGCGGUCUUUUAAGUCUGAUGUGAAAGCCUUCGGCUUAACCGGAGUAGUGCAUUGGAACCUGGGAGACUUGAGUGCAGAAGAGGAGAGUGGAACUCCAUGUGUAGCGGU
rnacentral:rRNA from 1 species